GACGAACGCUGGCGGCGUGCUUAACGCAUGCAAGUCGAACGGAAAGGCCCUGCUUUUGUGGGGUGCUCGAGUGGCGAACGGGUGAGUAACACGUGAGUAACCUGCCCUUGACUUUGGGAUAACUUCAGGAAACUGGGGCUAAUACCGGAUAGGAGCUCCUGCUGCAUGGUGGGGGUUGGAAAGUUUCGGCGGUUGGGGAUGGACUCGCGGCUUAUCAGCUUGUUGGUGGGGUAGUGGCUCACCAAGGCUUUGACGGGUAGCCGGCCUGAGAGGGUGACCGGCCACAUUGGGACUGAGAUACGGCCCAGACUCCUACGGGAGGCAGCAGUGGGGAAUAUUGCACAAUGGGCGGAAGCCUGAUGCAGCAACGCCGCGUGCGGGAUGACGGCCUUCGGGUUGUAAACCGCUUUCGCCUGUGACGAAGCGUGAGUGACGGUAAUGGGUAAAGAAGCACCGGCUAACUACGUG
rnacentral:rRNA from 1 species